CUGAAAGAAAAGCUGUGUUGAUCAUUAUUGAUUUUGCCCAUAUGGGGGUAAAAUCAGGACAGAUUGGCAUGGACAAUU
rnacentral:snoRNA from 1 species